rnacentral:rRNA from 1 species
AUGCAUCGCCAAGGCUUGAAUUGGGGUGCACUUCACAAAACUAUUACAUGCAGCAAAUUUUGUACUGUAGGAGAUAUGUACCUUGUGGAAGAAGUGCGCAUAGGAAGUCGCAGAGAGGCCAUUGCUCAUGGCAUUGUAGCAGUAUGGUUUGGUGAGAUUGGGGUCAAUAAGAAGCUAGUCCUGCCUGGCGUCGCUCUUGAAGAGGGUCUCUUCUUUAGUGUAAGAUUCCUUUGCACGGUGCAUCUUUUUUUUUUAGAACGAAGGCUCAAGACACGGUGCAUCUCCACACGAACGCAAAAACAUCAUCCUUGGUGCACAGUGGCUUCACCAAAUCCAUUGUCUCCCCAAGAAUCGUAG